UCUGAACUACCACCACCCUCCAUCAGAAAUAGUCUGAGUGACUCCACCUCCAUUAGAAUGUCUGAGUGACACCACCCUCCCUCAGAAUGUCUGAACUACACCCACCCUCCAUCAGAAUGUCUGACUACAAACAUAACACCCCCCCAUUAAAUGUCUGAGUGACUGCCAUCCCUCCAUCGGAAUAGCUGAGUGACGCCACCCUCCAUCAGAAUGUCUGAGUGACUCCAACCCUCCAUCAGAAUGUCCUGAGUGGACCCCCCCUCCAUCAGAAUUCUGGUGACCUCCACCUCCAUCAGAAUUGUCGAAGUGACCUCACCCUCCAUCAAAUAUCUGAGUGACCCCACCCUCCUCAGAAUGUCUGAACGACACCACCCUCCAUCAGAAUGUCUGAAACUACACCACCCUCCAUCAGAAUGUCUGAACUACACCACCCUCCAUCAGAAUGUCUGAACUACACCACCCUCCAUCAGAAUGUCUGAACUACACCACCCUCCAUCAGAAUGUCUGAGUGACUCCACCCUCCAUCAGAAUGUCU
rnacentral:lncRNA from 1 species